rnacentral:rRNA from 1 species
GACGAACGCUGGCGGCGUGCUUAACACAUGCAAGUCGAACGGAAAGGCCUGCUUUCCCUUGUGGAUUGCGGGUACUCGAGUGGCGAACGGGUGAGUAACACGUGAGUGAUCUGCCCCCAACUUGGGUAUAAGCCUGGGAAACUGGGUCUAAUUCCCGAUAGGACUGCAGGGUGGUGCCUGUGGUGGAAAACGAUUUUCUAGUGGUUGGGGAUGAGCUCGCGGCCUAUCGGCUUGUUGGUGGGGUAAUGGCCUACCAAGGCGGCGACGGGUAGCCGGCCUGAGAGGGUGGACGGCCACAUUGGGACUGAGAUACGGCCCAGACUCCUACGGGAGGCAGCAGUGGGGAAGAUUGCACAAUGGGCGGAAGCCUGAUGCAGCGACGCCGCGUGGGGGAUGACGGCCUUCGGGUUGUAAACUCCUUUCGACCGCGAGGAAGCCACCUGGUUGGAAGGGUGGUGACGGUAGUGGUAGAAGAAGCACCGGCUAACUACGUG